rfam:Myotis davidii contig146823, whole genome shotgun sequence.
AGGCCUGGAGAGAGAAGCAGGGUCUGAUCCACAGCCUUCAUGGCAGCUAUUGAUCAGCUCUUGCCUCUCUUUUUCUCUGGG